UACGAAGGGGGCUAGCGUUGCUCGGAAUCACUGGGCGUAAAGCGCACGUAGGCGGAUUGUUAAGUCAGGGGUGAAAUCCUGGAGCUCAACUCCAGAACUGCCUUUGAUACUGGCGAUCUCGAGUCCGGGAGAGGUGAGUGAAACUGCGAGUGUAGAGGUGAAAUUCGUAGAUAUUCGCAAGAACACCAGUGGCGAAGGCGGCUCACUGGCCCGGUACUGACGCUGAGGUGCGAAAGCGUGGGGAGCAAACAGG
rnacentral:rRNA from 1 species